UUAAGCGACUAAGCGUACACGGUGGAUGCCCUGGCAGUCAGAGGCGAUGAAGGACGUGCUAAUCUGCGAUAAGCGUCGGUAAGGUGAUAUGAACCGUUAUAACCGGCGAUUUCCGAAUGGGGAAACCCAGUGUGAUUCGUCACACUAUCAUUAACUGAAUCCAUAGGUUAAUGAGGCGAACCGGGGGAACUGAAACAUCUAAGUACCCCGAGGAAAAGAAAUCAACCGAGAUUCCCCCAGUAGCGGCGAGCGAACGGGGAGNCACAUAUUGUGAGCUCGAUGAGUAGGGCGGGACACGUGGUAUCCUGUCUGAAUAUGGGGGGACCAUCCUCCAAGGCUAAAUACUCCUGACUGACCGAUAGUGAACCAGUACCGUGAGGGAAAGGCGAAAAGAACCCCGGCGAGGGGAGUGAAAAAGAACCUGAAACCGUGUACGUACAAGCAGUGGGAGCACGCUUAGGCGUGUGACUGCGUACCUUUUGUAUAAUGGGUCAGCGACUUAUAUUCUGUAGCAAGGUUAACCGAAUAGGGGAGCCGAAGGGAAACCGAGUCUUAACUGGGCGUUAAGUUGCAGGGUAUAGACCCGAAACCCGGUGAUCUAGCCAUGGGCAGGUUGAAGGUUGGGUAACACUAACUGGAGGACCGAACCGACUAAUGUUGAAAAAUUAGCGGAUGACUUGUGGCUGGGGGUGAAAGGCCAAUCAAACCGGGAGAUAGCUGGUUCUCCCCGAAAGCUAUUUAGGUAGCGCCUCGUGAAUUCAUCUCCGGGGGUAGAGCACUGUUUCGGCAAGGGGGUCAUCCCGACUUACCAACCCGAUGCAAACUGCGAAUACCGGAGAAUGUUAUCACGGGAGACACACGGCGGGUGCUAACGUCCGUCGUGAAGAGGGAAACAACCCAGACCGCCAGCUAAGGUCCCAAAGUCAUGGUUAAGUGGGAAACGAUGUGGGAAGGCCCAGACAGCCAGGAUGUUGGCUUAGAAGCAGCCAUCAUUUAAAGAAAGCGUAAUAGCUCACUGGUCGAGUCGGCCUGCGCGGAAGAUGUAACGGGGCUAAACCAUGCACCGAAGCUGCGGCAGCGACGCUUAUGCGUUGUUGGGUAGGGGAGCGUUCUGUAAGCCUGCGAAGGUGUGCUGUGAGGCAUGCUGGAGGUAUCAGAAGUGCGAAUGCUGACAUAAGUAACGAUAAAGCGGGUGAAAAGCCCGCUCGCCGGAAGACCAAGGGUUCCUGUCCAACGUUAAUCGGGGCAGGGUGAGUCGACCCCUAAGGCGAGGCCGAAAGGCGUAGUCGAUGGGAAACAGGUUAAUAUUCCUGUACUUGGUGUUACUGCGAAGGGGGGACGGAGAAGGCUAUGUUGGCCGGGCGACGGUUGUCCCGGUUUAAGCGUGUAGGCUGGUUUUCCAGGCAAAUCCGGAAAAUCAAGGCUGAGGCGUGAUGACGAGGCACUACGGUGCUGAAGCAACAAAUGCCCUGCUUCCAGGAAAAGCCUCUAAGCAUCAGGUAACAUCAAAUCGUACCCCAAACCGACACAGGUGGUCAGGUAGAGAAUACCAAGGCGCUUGAGAGAACUCGGGUGAAGGAACUAGGCAAAAUGGUGCCGUAACUUCGGGAGAAGGCACGCUGAUAUGUAGGUGAAGUCCCUUGCGGAUGGAGCUGAAAUCAGUCGAAGAUACCAGCUGGCUGCAACUGUUUAUUAAAAACACAGCACUGUGCAAACACGAAAGUGGACGUAUACGGUGUGACGCCUGCCCGGUGCCGGAAGGUUAAUUGAUGGGGUCAGCGCAAGCGAAGCUCUUGAUCGAAGCCCCGGUAAACGGCGGCCGUAACUAUAACGGUCCUAAGGUAGCGAAAUUCCUUGUCGGGUAAGUUCCGACCUGCACGAAUGGCGUAAUGAUGGCCAGGCUGUCUCCACCCGAGACUCAGUGAAAUUGAACUCGCUGUGAAGAUGCAGUGUACCCGCGGCAAGACGGAAAGACCCCGUGAACCUUUACUAUAGCUUGACACUGAACAUUGAGCCUUGAUGUGUAGGAUAGGUGGGAGGCUUUGAAGUGUGGACGCCAGUCUGCAUGGAGCCGGCCUUGAAAUACCACCCUUUAAUGUUUGAUGUUCUAACGUGGACCCGUGAUCCGGGUUGCGGACAGUGUCUGGUGGGUAGUUUGACUGGGGCGGUCUCCUCCUAAAGAGUAACGGAGGAGCACGAAGGUUGGCUAAUCCUGGUCGGACAUCAGGAGGUUAGUGCAAUGGCAUAAGCCAGCUUGACUGCGAGCGUGACGGCGCGAGCAGGUGCGAAAGCAGGUCAUAGUGAUCCGGUGGUUCUGAAUGGAAGGGCCAUCGCUCAACGGAUAAAAGGUACUCCGGGGAUAACAGGCUGAUACCGCCCAAGAGUUCAUAUCGACGGCGGUGUUUGGCACCUCGAUGUCGGCUCAUCACAUCCUGGGGCUGAAGUAGGUCCCAAGGGUAUGGCUGUUCGCCAUUUAAAGUGGUACGCGAGCUGGGUUUAGAACGUCGUGAGACAGUUCGGUCCCUAUCUGCCGUGGGCGCUGGAGAACUGAGGGGGGCUGCUCCUAGUACGAGAGGACCGGAGUGGACGCAUCACUGGUGUUCGGGUUGUCAUGCCAAUGGCACUGCCCGGUAGCUAAAUGCGGAAGAGAUAAGUGCUGAAAGCAUCUAAGCACGAAACUUGCCCCGAGAUGAGUUCUCCCUGACCCUUUAAGGGUCCUGAAGGAACGUUGAAGACGACGACGUUGAUAGGCCGGGUGUGUAAGCGCAGCGAUGCGUUGAGCUAACCGGUACUAAUGAACCGUGAGGCUUAACCUU
rnacentral:rRNA from 1 species